CCUGAGAAACCCAAAAGAUCGAAUGGGGAGAUUCAUCGUUCAGCUGCUCUGGCUUCCGUGCGGUACGCGAUGACGGGGACCUCGGUCUCGCGUCACUCUACCGCUGCGGCAUGCCCGGCGCAGUCGGCGUGCACUUCUCCCCUAGUAGGACGUCGCGACCCGUUGGGUGUCGGAUCAAUGGCCCGUUCGGUCGCCUGUCGCGCUCGCGAGAGCGCUUCAGACCGUCCGGUCGAACGUCCGACUGCCCGGCGGUAUCGAACGUUGAAAACUGGUACUGGGCCGCAUUCAGUGCGUUCCUGGCUCGUCGGCAGGCUCGUCUCGCUCGGAUUUACGGACCUAGCGCCGUUGCCGGGUGCUUGGCGCGGCCGUUAGUCGGCGAUGUCCUCGGACUGGCUCUUACCGGUCGGCGACGCUACUGCUUUGGGUACUUUC
rnacentral:rRNA from 1 species